rnacentral:rRNA from 1 species
UCCUACGGGACGCAGCAGUGGGGAAUAUUGCACAAUGGGGGAAACCCUGAUGCAGCGACGCCGCGUGAGUGAAGAAGUAUCUCGGUAUGUAAAGCUCUAUCAGCAGGGAAGAAAAUGACGGUACCUGACUAAGAAGCCCCGGCUAACUACGUGCCAGCAGCCGCGGUAAUACGUAGGGGGCAAGCGUUAUCCGGAUUCACUGGGCGUAAAGGGAGCGCAGGCGGCAUGGCAAGUCUGAUGUGAAAACCCGGGGCCCAACCCCGUGAGUGCCUUGUGAAC